UUAGAAGCUUUACUUCCUGUUUCCUUCGUGUUAAAUGAGCCUGAGACUGAUGAGACUAAAUGACUUGCGCAGGUUUGAGCAAGAGCUGGUCGUUCUAGGCCCCUGAGAAUUUAUACUCUUUGCAUGAAUCCUGACUUGGAAUCAAGGAUUCCUAGAGGCCCAUAGAUAACAUCCUUGUGUUGAUUUUUAUGCCAUUGUUUUGCUUAGUAAUAGAGACCAUUGUUUUUGUAUAUAUGAUUUUAGCCAAAUAUCCUUUAGAUCUCAUCUCAAAUUCUGCAGUUAAAGGAAGUUCUAUCAGUUGCCAAAAUCCUUGGAUUCAAGUUUCAAAGGUGCUUUUGAGGAAGCUGGUUGGACCAAACCAGGAGUUGAAUGCUUUCACCAACAUGGGGAUCCACUUCGUAGCAGCUCCCCUUGCUUAAAGGAGCUGUACUCGUCUUAACAAGCAGAGAAAGGCCCUUGGCCUGAUUUCCAUGCAUGAUUGAUACAUGGGAGAUUCUAAAACUUUACAAGCUUCCUUUCACGCCAAGGUUGGUCCAUCAGCUUUUGUUACGAGAGAGACAAUGAGGAGGAGAAAGAAAAGAGGAAGAAACUUCCCCUUUUACCUAACACACUCAUCUUCCCCACCAAUACUGCCGUAGAAGAAUCAAACACUAAGAGGGGUCGAUAUGGAAGGCCAGAAAUGAUGCUAGGAUCAGUCAAUCCAAACACAAGCCCACUGAUGUGCUUUACAUAUGCUGAGAGCUUCCUGUCACAUGGAACUGAGGGAUCUUGACAAGAACAAAUCAAGGUGGAAUGUACGGUGGCUUAGUUGCUGGUAACAGAUAUCUUCCUGGAGUAGUUUAGGUUAGACUAGAUGUGAAGCUAAAGCAAUUAUGGCGAUUGUGAUUCCAUUGCAAUUAUGGAGAUUGUCGACAAGAAGAAAACACCUCCUUACCAAAUGCUGAACAUCAUCAGAGAAAACCAUGCGAUCAUUGUCACUGAUUGUUAUAGUAUAUGCGUGCGUGCCUUCACCCCCUGCAUGCACGCCAACAUUUGCAUGCAUGGGACGUGGAACUCCGAGAAAGUGAUCGACGUGCACAGGGUAAAAAAAAGGAAAGGCAAAAAGCUUCUUCACGGGAGAGAUUCGAAGGUUAAGGCGUGGGAAUCUCGUUACAAGAUGGUGGCAGACCGCCUGAGCUACUCGUAUCAUGAGGUCAAGAAGCUUUCGAGACUUCACUUUUGUUGACCUAAUUCUUUGAGAAGACUAAGGAGCUCAACAUGCACCAUGCACACUGCCGCUCCACCGGUGGUAUGCGUACGUACCUUCAUCAUGGAACAUGAACAUUCUUCUGCAUCAAAAGUACCGAAAUAUACGACACCAUGAGUCAUCUACAUGUCUACCUACGUUCCUCUCGCUGCAUGAGUUCAAGACAUGCAGGUGAAGAUCCCAACUGGGAAAAGAACAUCAUCUUCAUGUUGCUUCAGAUCAUGCAAGUGUAAAUGUUUUAUGUGAGAAACAUGCGAAGAUCCUGCGAUAUAUAGCGUGUCGAGAUUUUAGAGAGUUAUAUUACUUAUGUAUAGGUGCUCUCCAAAGAAUGGAAGGGAAGAGUGAGCAGCCCAAAGAAGAGUUGUCCCCGUUGUUGGUGUCAUGGCAGAGCUGCUUUAACGCCGAUGUCGCCGCUUGUGG